CCUACGGGGGGCAGCAGUGAGGAAUAUUGGUCAAUGGACGCGAGUCUGAACCAGCCAAGUAGCGUGAAGGAUGACUGCCCUAUGGGUUGUAAACUUCUUUUAUAAAGGAAUAAAACGAGGCACGUGUGCCUUUUUGCAUGUACUUUAUGAAUAAGGAUCGGCUAACUCCGUGCCAGCAGCCGCGGUAAUACGGAGGAUCCGAGCGUUAUCCGGAUUUAUUGGGUUUAAAGGGAGCGUAGAUGGGUUGUUAAGUCAGUUGUGAAAGUUUGCGGCUCAACCGUAAAAUUGCAAUUGAUACUGGCAGUCGUGAGUACAGUUGAGGUAGGCGGAAUUCGUGGUGUAGCGGUGAAAUGCUUAGAUAUCACGAAGAACCCCGAUUGCGAAGGCAGCUUACUAAACUGUGACUGACAUUGAUGCUCGAAAGUGUGGGUAUCAAACAGGAUUAGAUACCCCUGUAGUC
rnacentral:rRNA from 1 species